rnacentral:tRNA from 1 species
ACUCGGUUAGCUCAGUCGGUAGAGCACCAGACUCUUAAUCUGGCUGUCGCGGGUUCGAGCCCC